AAAGUCAGAGCUUUCUCUCAAAUUGAUUCGCUUCCGCGACGAGGUGGGCGUGCCGGCCCCUACAAAAAGAGAAAUUACAUUAAGGAGGAAAUCAUUGAGCGCAUGAGACUUGAUGAAGAGGUAUUGCUGGAUUUCUUCGGGGAGUAUAUCAGUGUAAAUAAGGUUGAAAGCAGAGUGUGUCUUCUAAGUGAUCUGAGGGAGUCAGCGUCAGCUGAGAGCCUGGAUGUCUUCACUCUCAUCUAUACAAAUAUUCUGGAACACCAACC